CGGAUGACCAUCCCUGAGCCCCUUUGGACCUUUGACCUCUGCCUCAUCUCCUGUGUGUUCUUCUAACACCCUUGUAAAUAGUUCCCUGUAUUUCAUUCACUCACAGACGGGCUGCCGAUUCCCAGAGCCAUACGUUCACCAAAUGGGAAGAGGUUUGUCAAUCCAGUCCUGUGUCUCUGCCGUCUGCACCCCCGACCCCGUGCUCCUCCCUCAGAACCCAGUUGCUCUCCUUUCGGAACCCAGAACACACAUCUUUCUUGCUCGUUCCUCACUGGCAGAGCUGACCGGUUUCCACUUGUACAGUUCCCUGAGCUGUAAGUCUCUGCCAUCUAACUCUUUGCGGAAAAGGCCUCUGGGCAUGAAGGGCUUGAAGGCUCUCUAUUGAACAUUCUCAGCAGCUCUGUUUUGCAUGAAAAAAAAAAAAAGCAUCCCGGAGGAGUUAGUGACUAUCACACAGCACAAGCUUUCAUUAAAAUCAGCAACUCAAUCCGGGUGGAUGUCCUGUAUUAGAACCGAUCAUGGUAUAACACCAGGGGCGUGGCUCGCUAAAGCGCUUACCGUGCAAGCGUGAGAACCCAGCUCUCACAUAAAAACUCAGGCCUCACACAAGCACCUGCCGAGGACUGGAGCAGGAGACUCCCUGGAGCUUGAUGGAUAAAUCGUUCCAGGGAGAGACGGGGUCUCAGUCAAUCAAUCAGUCAUCAACCAAUCAAGUGAGACGCCAUGGAGGAAGAUACCUGAUGCCCAUAUCACAUGUACAUGUGUGCACAUGCGCACCCGCAUGAAUGCACGGGAGAUCAUACUUUGGGUCACACACCAGUGACUGGAAAGUCACCUUUUAAUCUCAUCAUUACAUACACCAUUGAAGGGGCCAGCCCCUCCCCCAGCCCCCUGCUUUGGCAGCCAGGACAGGCUGCAGGAAAGACCCAGCAAGAGAAAGGCCCCUGACUCAGCGGUGUGUGCUGAACGUCUCACCUUGUCCUCACUAGGAAGCCAGAUACUCAACGUGGGAAGGAACCAAUCAAUCAGAAAUUAGCUGGCAGGCUCUGGAUGUGCUUUAUAACAGUGGAAUUCAGAGCAUAGCAACCGCCCUGGGCGGGCCCAUAGGCCAUAGCAACCAGGUGACCAAUCAACACAGGACAGGUUGUCCAACCCCAGAAAUGCACCAAUCCUGAGAUUUUUGUGGACCCCUAGACACUCACCUUGCUCACCCCAAUAAAUUCCCUGCCUCUUGGUCCCUCUGGCCCCACCUGCUGUGUCAGACAGACCCAGAAACUGAUUUAAAUACAGUUAACUCACUAAACAAUAAAAGACUCUUUGCUUUUGCAUCAGUCGGAGAUUUGGGGGUUCAAAAUUUGGGCACAACACCAUCAGGAGUAUGUGGAGGCUGCAGAAGUCAUGAGUGAGCUAGGGCAGGUCAUGCCAUUUCCCCAGGCCCCGGUGUGGUCAUAACUAUAAGAUGAAAGAUGAGAGCCGGGCGUUGGUGGCGCACGCCUUUAAUCCCAGCACUCGGGAGGCAGAGGCAGACGGAUCACUGUGAGUUCGAGACCAGCCUUGUCUACCGAGCGAGUUCCAGGACAGCCUCCAAAGCCACAGGGAAACCCUGUCUCGAAAAACCAAAGAAAAAGAUGAAAGAUGAGGCCUAUUCUCCAGGCCCCCCAGUCUCAUAGAGCUGCGGAUGCGACCCAGAGCCUCAUUGAUGCUGAGGCAAACGCUCUGUAACCAAGCCACAUUCCCAGACCACGCCUCACUGCUCGCUCGCUCUCUCUGAAUAAUGACAGUCUAAGAGAAAACAGCCGGAUGUUCACGGAGACUGUAGCAAGAGUUUCUUCUCUUUCAAAAAUGGCUAAGUCUCUAAAACCACGAUGUUUAGCCCCAGUUUUGUAUGUGACUGUGUGUCAUCUGCCUUCUCGAUAAACUGCAGGAUCUACACAUGGGUUCUGGGAGCUGAGGAACCUUUAGGAGGUAGAAUUUACGCCUGCCCGGAAUUCAGCAUCCUGUGUGUGCUCCCACCAUCUAUGCUAUAACAAACCAUCCUCGGGUACAUAUCACUCUCUGGGCCAGGGCAGUCUAUAAGAAUGGACCAGGAGUGGCCUCCACUAUGCCAGCCUGGCCCUUCCCCUGGACUGCAACAGCUAGAGGACAGAGACCUGGCCAAGCCACAUGCUCUGCCCUUCAUACCGCUAAUGAGGGAAAGUCAAGGUUUACAGCAAGUGACUGUGACCGCAUGCUUUGCUGCCAUCACACACCUCGGGGACUCAGCCUCCAACAGCAGUUCCUUCUCUUGCAGAGUGGGCUCAUUCACCCUGCCAGAACCCGGGCUGUGCACCCCAGGUCCACACCCAUCACAGGAGCCCUGAAAGACUUCUGAGUCAGCCUGGAGCUGAAAGUCAGAUGGCAUCACCCAGAGACCUGCCAAGUGACUGUUGUGACCUAGGUAGGACCAGCAACAACACCAACAUGAAUGCCGCCAUUGGCUGAAGCGGGAAGGGUGGAGACUUGCUUCUACCAGCCCUGUGACCAUGAGCAUGUGAGGGAGGCUUUGUACACACAGUGGGAACACAGAGUGGGACCGAGGGCCAGAGGAGGCCUGCCUCCAACCUGCAAGGUUUUGUCCUAGUGACCUAGUUCCAUUAGCCAGCCCUACCUCUUAAAGGGCCCACAGCCCUAAACUAGCAGAACCAGCUGGGAACCAAGUAAACAUAACAUGAACCUGUGGGGACACUUCAGAGUCAAACAGCGACUGUCCUGAUGUCUGUUGUGACCUAGGUGGAGCCAUCAUGGACACCAGCAUCGCCCAUUGGUUAAGGUGGGAAGAAUGUGGAUUUGCUUUAUGUACACAUACCAAAAACAUCACCAAGAAGUCAAACUGCUAACUACUCCAUGGUAAAUUUUCCUCCUGCAUGCCAAGGAUGCCACACUAGCAGAUUUGGAUGCCUGCCGUCCAUGUGCCGUCUGUGAAAGCCAUUGUCUGAGUUUUCCCUGUGAGAUGAACACUAGGAAACCACUAGAGGAAAUAUGUGCUGCUGGCUCCCAGAUGUUGUUAAAAAGAGAACGAGAGUCUGCCAUACUGGCUCAAGAGGCUAACUAUGUCAGCACUUCAUAUCUGUCCUUCCCAAAGUAUUGAAGAACUAUUUUCCCGCAUAACUGAGUGUGUUCCCUGUAUCUCCAUUUUUAAUCUGGAGGUCCUGAAGUUGGACCAGGCAAAGUUCCUCCCUCCACUUGCGUAGGAAGUAAGUCAGGUGAAGGAAGGUUCCGGACACACGCACUUCCCCAGCAGGCUUCGGGAGAUCUGUGGCCCACAAAAAAUUAAAAUGUAUCACACUAGCUUCCAAAAACCCUGAGCAUCCCUGAGCUGUGGGAGGGACCUGCUUUGGCCUCUAGAUACUACAGAGUUCCUGGGAGCUGGUCUAUACCCCAGUGACUCUAAAAAGUUGAGUUGAAAUAGAACGAGAGUAGUGCUAAGGAACACCCACUCCAUUGCUGAAGCAGAAACUUCUGGAAGCUCUUGUUCUCUGGGACUUGGAGAGAGUGCUGUGGCUGCUGACAGAGAGGGCUUGGGUGCAAGACGUGUCCCCAGUGACCUACUUCUAGUUAAGUUCUACAUCCAAAUAUUCCCAGAAUCUUCCAAAACAGUACCACCAGCUCCUGGAACCUGGACAUUAACAGCCUGUAGGGGACAUUUAAUUUUCAAACAAUAACAAACCAUAUAGAUUUUUAAAGGAAAACACAAGGCAUGGCAAAAGCCACCCUCCGGUGGUCCCUGAUUGUCACCUUUGAACACCUGACCCGGGCUAUCUGUCUGUCUUGCCUAUAAGCUGGUCUAAGUACUUUUUCUUCCUCAGCAGCCUUUACUGAUCACACUGUUUAGAUCUUGCACUUUCUUCUAACGUUGUGAUCCUCAGAUAAAAACCCACAUUUGAGGGCUAAGGAGAUGACUCAGUGGUUAAAGAGCUUGCUGGGUACAGGCUUCUGUACAAAUGUGGCAUGAACAUGGCAGCCAACAUAUAAUUCCAGUCUUGGAAGGCUAAGAUGGGGUCCCUAGAGCACACUGGCUAAGCAUCCUCACAAGAUUCAAUCGAACUCUUGAGUUUGAUUGAGAAACCCUGCUUUAAUGAAUAAGCAAAGGAUUAUUGGAUGAUUCUAGACAUCAACUUUGGGCCUUCAUAUGCACACAAACACACAUUCAUGGGCGCUCACGCACGCACGUGCACACACACACACACCAAACAUGUAUACAUUCACAUAGACCCCGACUCCCUCCCCCCCUUCUCUAAUGGAGAGAGGCAGAAAAUAACCUUCGUUGAAUCAACUCUCCAUCGCUAAGUAAAUGACUCAUUACAUAUCUCCUUCCUAGAACACACUCAAACCUAGGCAUCCUGACUCCAAAUCUGGAAUGGUACCCACAAGGUCCCAGUGGUUUGAGGCUCUGGUGCAGAGUAGGAAGCCAGAAACAAUGCCUUAAAGGAACACAUUUGCCUUGGGAGGCUUCCAAGCUCCAUUCCUGCUGUCAUUACUGCAGUGGCCAAUGGGAAACACUCACACAGGAGUCAGAAUCGUCAGAACAAGUUCCUCCCACCCAGGCUGGCAGCUGCCCUGGAGCUGCCAUGAUGGCAUCCCCCAGCUGUAUUUCCAGGAACGUCACAGACAACUGUCUCCAUGACACCUCUCAACAGUGAAGGCACUGUCUUUGUCACAAGAGUCCCUGAGUGAGCUCCUACAUAGACGUGUUAAUACUCCACUUUCAAUCACUCGGGGCUUGGUGACAAGUGGCUUGAGUCUUCCUUUGACCAUCCUUCAAAAAUAUAUUGAAUCCACACCUAUGCCCAGCACUUUGCUGCUGGCCAGGAAUGGAGAAAAAUAAUUGUCAAGAACCCCUUGCUCAUCGUUGUCUCUCUGUCCAGCGAGAAAGCUGAGUUUCCUGGAUGGUGCUGACUGGACACUGCAGGACCAGGCUCUCCUGUAGGGACUGACACCCAAAUGCAUGACAGAGAUUGAGACCCCAUCCAGCAGUGUGCAGCUGGGCAGUAAGGGCUUAAACUUGGUGAUGCAGAGGCUCAAACCAUUCAUGGAGGCUGAGUUCUACUUCUCAAGGCUGCCUCUGUUGUGGGUGGCAUCUACAGCAGGGCCAUGGAAAGUGCCCCCGGGGCUUUGGGCUGAACUUUUUGUUGUUAUUUUAUUAAGUCCAGCUCCACAACCGAUUGAAAGUUCUCAUGGCAGACAGUGAGUCCCCAGGCUCAGCGCCAACUUGCCGCACCAUUGUUUGAGUGAGAGUAUUCUUACCUACCAUUUACCUCGGGCCCCCACAUGCUAGUUCUUAGACAUCAAACUCACCCACCUCUUGCUCAUCCCCUUCCUUCUGAGGUUGCUAUGUCAGUUUUCUGAGACUGGCUAAUUUAUAAAGAAGAGAAUUUUGUUUAGCUUUGCAGUUAUCACAUCUGGUGAGAACCUUUUUGCCGUGUCAUAGUCUAAUAGAGGACAUUACAUAGACCGUUUGUAUCUCCCUUCUUCUUACAAGGCCACUAAUCCCCUUUUGGGGAGCCCACCCUCAGGACCUCAUCUAAUCCUAAUCACCUCCAAAGGGCCUUACCUCCAGAAACAUUAACAUGAAUUUGAGAGUUAAGUUUGCAACCUACGAACUCCUAAGGAACUUACUCAAAUUGUAGCAAUUGCUUUCCAUAAAUGAAAUAUCUUUGAGGCCCUUUAAAAUGCAGGGGUUUGGGGUCUGGAUGAUGGUAAAAAGUACUUGCAAAGAAAGCCUGAUAACCUGAACUUCAUCCCCAGAGCCCUCAUAGAGGGAUAGAGGAGAAUCAAAUCCACAAAGUUGUCCCCUGACUUCCACAUUCCCUGUCUUCCUGCUCUGCUCUCCCUAAGGUGCUGGUCCUGUUUUCCUUUAAGAAUAUAGCUCAGAAGUUAGAGUCCAGUUGUUUCAGGUCCACAUAACUGCAAAGGAGGCUGGGAAAUACAGUCUCUAAUCUGGGAACAGGACUGAAAGUUCUAUUACUGUGGAGGAGAGAUGAGAAGGGCACUGGGGUGCAGUGUGGUGUAUGUAUGUAUGUAUGUGUGUAUGUAUGUAUGUAUGUAUGGUGUAUG